rnacentral:rRNA from 1 species
UACGAAGGGGGCUAGCGUUGCUCGGAAUCACUGGGCGUAAAGGGUGCGUAGGCGGGUCUUUAAGUCAGGGGGGAAAUCCUGGAGCUCAACUCCAGAACUGCCUUUGAUACUGAAGAUCUUGAGUUCGGGAGAGGUGAGUGGAACUGCGAGUGUAGAGGUGAAAUUCGUAGAUAUUCGCAAGAACACCAGUGGCGAAGGCGGCUCACUGGCCCGAUACUGACGCUGAGACACGAAAGCGUGGGUAGCAAACAGG